AAGAUGACAAGCAGUAUGGUCUCAGUCGUUUUAUGCCAAUGACUAAUGAUUGCAUGCCAUGGCUAAACGAAAGAUCAACCAGUUCAGUUGUUUAUGUAUCAUUUGGAAGUUUGGCAGAACUUGACGCUGAGCAGAUGGAAGAAGUAGCCCAGGGCUUGAGAACUAGCAAUUACUAUUUUCUAUGGGUGGUUAGAGAAUCAGAAUCAAAUAAGCUGCCAAAAGAUUUUGUUAAAGAAACAUCUGAUAGAGGAUUAUUCAUUUCAUGGUGCCCUCAGCUUGAAGUUUUAGCCCACAAAUCUAUAGGGUGCUUUAUCACUCAUUGUGGAUGGAAUUCAACAUUGGAGGCCUUAAGUUUGGGGGUCCCAAUGAUAGGCAUGCCACAAUGGAUCGAUCAAAGUACAAACGCCAAGUUUGUAGUGGACAUCUGGAAAACGGGAAUCAAAGCUCAGCCAGAUGAAACUGGAAUUGUUAGAAGAGAUGUCAUUCAUGAAUGCAUAAGCGUAGUGAUGGAGGGGGAGAAAGGACAAGAGAUUAGGAAAAACGCAGAUAACUGGAAGGAUUUGGCAAGGAAGGCUUUUGAUGACGGGGGAAGUUCAGAUAAAAACAUUAAAGACUUUGUAUCCAAAUUGAUUCAGUCUUGAAGAGAUAAUAAAGUUGAUCUGUCUUAUCCAAAUUGAUUCAGACUUGAAGAGAUAAUAAAGUAGAUUUGUCUUCUUCAAUGAUAAUCAAAGGCAACCAGGUGACUGUCACAUGAAUUUUUGACGAAAAGUAACCACACAUUUGUCUGGAUCCACUAGCAACUGCAGUAGAAACGUGGUUUUCCUGGUGCCAUUAAUAUCUAGAAAGUAGACUAUAGCAUAGAGGAUAUAGCACACACUGUCCCAUGUAGCGCACGCAAGUUCAAUUCAAUGUGAAUACUAGAGUUUGCAAUCCUCUAAGGUAGAACCACUGAAUUCUAUAAAAUUUAUUUUGACGUGUAGGGUACCGUAUAACCUAUCUCAAUUUGUAUGCCCUGGUAGAUGAAAUAUGAGGCUUCAAGUUCUAAUAGACUUUGAAAUUAGUUAUGCAGAACAAAAGAUCAUGAGGUCUUCUGCUAUUAUUAAAGAAACAGUUUUCAAGCAUGAACCAUCAUGACAAUGUGGAUGAGUAUUCUCACCAUUCAUCGCUCUCCAACAUGGUUAGUAAUAUCGGUCGAUUUCGAUAUGACUCAAUCGAGUUGUAAUAAGAACGAAGGAACUAGUAUGAUAUUGAUUCCUGAAUCAUGGAUAAUACUAUAUCCGCGGCAACUUGCUCUGACUCGGUCAAUAUUAGUCAAUUUAAAUCCGUGAUGUAUUGUGUCGACCGAUAUAUUCGAGUCAAUUCGGAUUCAAUUCUAAUUUUUUUUUCAAAUUGUAUUUUUUUAUAUAUUUUCUAAUUUUAGUAAUUUUUUUAGAUUUUUUUGAAAAUUUUUAUGUGUUAUAAUAUGUGUAUCACCCGAUAUACAAUCGAUAUACUGCUAUAAAUGUGGAACAACUAUGACUGCAGCGCAACCGCGACCCACGACGGGAACCACGCUCUCCAAUGACAAAAACAAAUAAUUCUUAAAGAACAAAAGUUCCUUCUCUACAUCUAUAGUCAUCUUAUACUGAUGAGUACUUUCUCUGCUUGCUGCAGUCUCUGUAAAGCUCCUCUGGAUGCGUUUAGCAUAUUCACAUGAAGAGUUUUCAAGAUACAAAGCUCUUUAGAUGUGUUUCGCAUACUCAUGUGAAGCCUUUUCAAGCUACAAAGUUACUGCCUUUGGCAAGACUACUGUCUACAUUCCAUUAACUAGCACGGUAACAAGGGAAUGAUGGGGUGUUAAUUAUCGAUUAUUUUAUUAUUAAUUUUUCCUCUUAUUUCAGAUAAAUAUUAUUUUAAUUAUUAAUAUUUACUUAUAUUUGAUACUUAGAUUUAAUUUCAGAAAAUAGAACAAAAAAUUACAAAAAAAAAAAGACUUUUUAAAGCAAAUUACUUCGUAUAUGGGAGUCUACUGCAAAGCUCAAUCAACGUAGCCCACGAGAGGGGACCAAAGCUGAUUUCCUUUUCCUUUUUUGGGGCUGAUGAAGAGAUGGCAGGGACGGAGAGUCCAAGGAGCAAUAGGAAACAAUAAGCAAUUCGGCAGGGCCAUUUUUUUGCAUUCUUUUCUCUUAAUUCGGCAGGGCUUUCGGCGGGUAGUUGGGACUCUAAUUUCGGGGAGGGGGGACCACCACUAGAUAGGAUUAGUCAUUUUCUUUUGGCUGAAGAGGGAAAAAUCGUACGGGGGCCAGGGACAUCUCUGUAGCAAUAGUUUUAGUUAGAGCUGUUAAUCGAGCCGAGUCGAGCCGAGUACUUGGCUGCCGAGCUCGACUCGAGUUUAAUUCGAGCCGAGCUCUACUCGAGCUCGUUAGGAAAACGAGCUUUAAAAUGUGUUCGAACUCGGCUCGUUAAAUGUACAUGUGGCUCGAGCUCGAGCUCGAGCUUGACUCGUUUAUCACAAACGAGUCGAGCUUCACGAGCUCGAGCUCGAGCUCGUGCAAAUUAACCUUAAUAAAAACCUAUAAUUUUUAAUUUUUAUAAUUUUGAUUUCUAAAAUGACAAAUAUGCCCUUCAUUAACGAGCUCUAACGAGCUACUCGAGUAUCAAACGAGCCGAAGCUCGGCUCGUUAACUAAACGAGCAUGUUUCGAGCUCGAGCUCUAACGAGCUUUCGAGCUACUCGAUUGACUUAACAGCUCUAGUUUUAGUUUCUUUUCUUCUACUUGGCAUGCGUGCCUUCUGUUCGAUGUAAUUUCAGACUAGAAAAAUAGCUUUUACCUCUUGCUUUUUGGUGACAAACGCGAUGCUUUUACCGUCAAUUAAUUUGCGUGAAGAUUUAUUUAUACGGCGUGACUAAAUUCUUCAUCUAAUCAAGGAUCAAUUUGAUGGCACAGUCUCGAAUAUAUGUGAGAUCUAAUUAAUUUUCACGCGUUUCUUAAUUUGUUAAUAUUUACACGUUAUCUAUUUGAAUUUUCAUGAAAUUAUUUUGUUAAUUGGAUGACAAGGGCCCGAUGUUCAAUGUGACUUAUUAAUCUCCUGUCAAAUUAAUCAAUUAAAUCCGUAAUUAUUUGAUUGAUUAAUAUUAGUAGCAACUGGCGUGUUUGCACCAUAGGGGAACGUGCGAUCUAAUUUAAAUAACUCUUGUAGCGUAUUAUUGAUUGGAGUUAGGUUUUUCUAGUUCUUAAUGCAAUUGAGAAAUUAAUUCUUAUGGUCGUACCUAAGAGUAUUUUCUGAUUAGGGGUAAUCAAUGGUCGUACCUAGGUUAUCAAUAAAUUAAGAAAAAAUUGGUCGUUAGAGUUCGUCGGCGACUAUAACUAGUCUAUUAAUAAAUUAAGUGAACUUCCCUUGUAUCAAUGAUCGGGUGAGUGGAUUGUGUCUGAGUAGUUGUAUUCUUGGUUAGAAUUUAUCUAUUCUUGAUUUAAUUCCUACUAUAUUCGUGCUAGUUAUUUAUUUAUUUUUAGUUGAAUUGUUUAAUUAUUUUUAGUUUCAUUAUAGUGAAAUCCCCCUUUACCAAUUGAAAUUUAAAAGAGACAAAUAUCCACAGUCCUUAAGGAGACGACCCUCCUUGCCAUUGUCUACUAUUUAAUAAUUUUUGUCAACUAAUUAAUUCUGGUAUAUCGGAUUAAACAAACUCUUCAGAACAAGGUGUGUUAGGAAGAAACACCUCGAGAGAGUCCACGAAAGAGCCCAAUAUGUAAGUUAAGAACCCAAUUCUGAUCCAAAAACUUAAGUUAUUAGGUCUUGGGUCCUUACUUACAUAUUAAUCGCUCUUUUUCCAUCUCUCGGACCAAUGUGGGACACAACCCUUUACUCAUGAACUUAACAGGGUAAAUCAAGUAACCCAUUGCAUACCUAAAGUCCCUGCUCCAGUACCUAUGAUUAAUUAUUGACUGUUUUUAGUGGUAGUUAGGUUUUAUUUUUAUUAUUGCACAGGCUCGACACCUGUCAGGGAAAAAAUAUAUGCUAAUCUUAUAAAGGAAGCCAGACAAGCUCAUUAAUCAUCAAAGAAAUCGCAACGUCAAUUAGUCAUCACAGAACAAGAUUUCAUCAAGAAACACCAUCAUCCCCCCAAACAAAAAUCAGAAGCAGUAAAAACUAUGUGUGAGAGAGAGAGAGAGUUAAACUAGUGUUACUGACAGAUUUUUGUCACCUCAGUAUUUCCGAGCCCUUAAUCCAAUCCAAUUCUCUUUGGAUCUCAAUCUGACAGUCCAUGGAACAUUUUCUGAAUGACAAUAUGCUGUCGCAACCUUCAGAGAAUUUAAAGGCUCUAUAGCUCUAUGGAGAGUCAUCUUCUUCAAAGAUUUUCCAUGCUGCAGAAAGUACCCUACUAGCUUCACUUCAUCUUUCUUCCCUUUAAAUUUUGUGAUUUCAAUCUGCCUAAGAUGCUCAACAAUGUGUACUGGGAAAACCGUUGAAAAGCAGAUCAAGUCCUUAUCUAUACAAAAGUCCUCCUUACACACCUGUACAUAUCGAGAACAUCAGAUGCAGCAGAACAUAACUAAUUGACUCUGUGACAAGAAUGUUUACUGCAGCUCACUCUGUUAAGGACUAGCACUUCAAGAUUGGCGGCGUUGUCAAAUAAGCAUGACAACCACAUUGCUAUAAAAUACAAGUCUCCCCACACCGAAAGAUCGUGGGGUCUUUAUCUUGGGUUUAAGGUCCAUAGAGUGCUCGUUUUAUCACCAAUUGACUGGAUCGGGUUGCUCUAUGGAUCCCUCUUAGAUUACUCGUUUCGAGUCGAAUUUUCCAUUAAUUCUCGUGCUUGUUCUAAUUGUGUGUGCGUGGAUUUCUUACUGUUUCAGUAAAAAACAAGUCUCCUAAGCAGAUUCCUUAGAUUAUCGUUGUUUUGAAAAAUAAAAUCGGUCCAAUAUGGUUGCCUGGAAUUGUUGUCUUAAUCUAUGCACAUCGUGUUUACUUGGCACGACGGGUCAAGCAGAUAUUUUUUUUUUUUUUUUUAAACCCAAAGGGCCGUCGCACCGACAAAAAGUAAAGCAAUGCCCAUCGCGUCGCACCACACCAUGCUGCCGCAACAGGCCUGACAGGAUUUUUUUUUUCCCCCAUAUUGUGUUUGGCUAGCGCGACGAGCGUGACGGAUUUUUAAAAAAAUAAAGAGAAACCUUUUUUGGGUUUAUUAAGUUUUAGCAGGUUAGGAUUUACAAUUUAUUAUAGUCAUCUAUAACAUACUUAAAUACUCAAUCAACCGUAAUUGUAUUAAAAAAAUUACUACAUGAAUUGCUAUUUUUAUAUUUAAAAAUUUAUAUAAAAUGCAUACAUAGUAAAUGUACUCUUAUAUGUCAUUAUUUGGCAUACCAUACUUAUACUAAACGAUUAUAUUAAUUAAAGCGGUUAUAGAUUUACUCAUACCUCUAUAUCUAUCAAAUUAAGAAACCCUUUUAUCCAAUUGUAGUGUUUCAUCAAAUAACUUGCACUUUUGUAUUUUGAAAGUAUUUAACAUUAUUCAACUUCAAAACGGUUAGAUUAAAAAAAAAAAGUAAAAUAGUAAAUAUAUGUCAAGAUGGUGCAGAAUACAUUGAAUGGAUGAGAUUUAAAAUACUGUAGAAGGCAACACAAUUUCAACGCCUCGCGAGUUUCUUGCAUUUAUCCUUACCCUUAACCUUCUCACGAGGUGCCGUGGGAGGACAACAAUAUCUAUUACAUAGUCAAUUUACCAUGACAGCUUUUAGCUUUUGCAUUGCUUUGGAGUACAUUAUUAACAACAUUAUCUGCACCUAUUUACAUUGUUAAUUACAUUGAUUAUGUCUAUUUAAGCUUUUGAAUUGCUCACAAAUAAGUACCUAUUGUUUAAAGUAUAAAUCUUCUACUUAAUUACUUUAAUCACAUAGUAAAACUACAUUGAUUGGUUAAUAACACUUAAACUAAUCCAUUCAUAAUCCUAUACUUAAUGAUAUGGCCAAUUUAUUUAGUAACUAACUAAUUUACCUACGUAGAAACUUGCUAAUUAACUACUUGCAUGUCCAAUUAAAAUACUUAAUACUACAUUAUUUGGCUAAUUAUUUAUACUAGUUAUUGAUUAAAACUACAUUAUUUGGCUAAUUAUUUACAAUGUUAAUCUAACAACACCAAUAUAAUACAUACAAUCAAUACAAUAAAGUAUUUUAAUACAGCAAUAAUUAAACACAAAACGAGAAUAAACAUUAAAGCACAAAACAACAUUAAAGCACAAACACCUGCAUAAAGUAAUUAAUAAUUAUGAAUGAUAACUAUCAAUAUAAUCAUGUAAAUAAAGUAUUCACAACAAAGGGCUUGCAAACAUGGCUGCCUGAAACAAUCGCCGGGAAACCAACGCUGAAGGUUAUGUUAGUUACAACGAUGAGGGCGGAGGAGAAAUUUGAUCCAACGAAAUUUUGAGCUUAGAGAGAGAGAGAGAGAGAGAGAGAGGGGAGAUAAGAAAUAAGUUUGGCAAAUGAACAAAGCAACUAGGACGCGAUGAUCCUUUUUUUUUUUUUUGGGUCUGUGCAGCACCAUUUUGUGUUUUGUUCUAGCUCACGGUGGGCCUAACGAGCCAAUUGUGUCAGUAGUACCAUUGCUCGUAGUAGUGAGCACGACCGGUCAAUUUUUUUUUCAAAAAAAAAAAAAAGGUACGACGACCAGCUACUAUUUUUAAAAAAAAACUCUGUGCCAAAUUUUUUUUUUUUUAAAAAAAAGAAAAGGUACCACAAGUAACUAUUAUUUAAAAAAAAAUAUUUUAUGAUGUCUACAUGGCACGAUGGGCAUAGAAGUAAAACACUCCUACAAACAAUCACAUUUGAUCGAUUUUUUUCAAAACAACGAUAUUCUAAGAAAUUGCUCCUUCUCGAGGAUGGUCAAAUUGUUGAAAUUUGGAAUAUAGAUUGAAAAUGACAAUGUGCCUUCAUGCAAAAGAUACGAUCAGUUUAAGCAUAAGUCCCUUUGUCUUUAAAAACUUCAAGAAAAUAUCUAAAAUGAAUCGAAAUAAACACAAAAAAGAAAAGGAAAAACACACCCUCAGACUCAAGUGAGAGAAAUAAAGGGAUUGCACAUUUUGCGGCUCACUUAUAAGUUUUGUCAAACUUCCUUUUUGGUCAAAGUUAAAAAUUUCAAAGACUAAUUUUGUUUAAAAAUUUAGAGACCAUUUUGGCAUAUUACUUGUACUUUGGGACUAAAAGUGCUUUAUUCCCUAUCUUUCGCAAAGAAGCAGUGUGCGUAAGGAAUCACAGAGACAUGCAUAGCGAAAAAUUUAAAAAUUUAGAUUCCUUUAAUAAAUCGAUCUUUGAUUAAAUCCAUGUCACAUAGAGUUGUUCAAGAAAAUUAUUUCAAUUCACAAAGAUCUUCUUGAAUUGAUGGAGAUUUGAUGCAGAGGAUGGUUGUAGAUACCAAAUUUUUCUUAAUUUUAAGUAUAUUAUUUCAUUUUUCACUUAAAUUGAGUGAAUAAUUGUUUUAAUUUUGUUUUGUAGGUUUGUGCAUAAAGAAAGAAAUCAAAGAAAAAUUGAUGCUCAAAAUUGGAAAUUUUUUGUAGAAGUAUUUUCUUGUGUUUCGAAACUCAAGCAAAAUCCAUGCAAAAAUCUACCCAAAAUCCAUGCAAAAACCCAACCCAAGUAAAGAAGCAAAAGCUUGGAAAGUAGGCUUGAAAAAAACAAGGCCCAUUGCCCAUUUCAAUCUUCCUUUAAAAAAAAUGCUGCCUUGUGCGAGCGUCUUCAAUUUUCCCGCAGCAACGCAGCAAUACAAAAAGGAAAAUAGCUGGAUUUUUUUUUAAAGCAAUUCAGAUUCAUUUUUUCUUCCCAUUUCUUUCCCCAAAGAUUAGUUCGUACCAGGACACCUUACCAUCAAAAAUCCAUCAAGAAAACAACUGGCAAAAUGGAUCAAAGGGACCAAAUAUUGCCACAAAACCUAGUUUCAUCUCAACCAUAAUUCUUAGGGUUUUAGUUCAUUGGUUUCAUUUAAAAGGCUGAAAAGUGGGUCUUUAGGGUUGAGGGAGAGGGUUAAGAAAAUCGGCAUGAUAAGGUUAACAGUAAAGAGUAUUUCAGAGAGAAGAAAGUAUGGAAGGAAUUCAGUGUAUCUUUGAAUGAGAAAUUUUUAGGCUAUAAAUAGCUGUACAAAGCAAACAGAAAAUACAAUAAAUAAGGAGUCUACUGCUAACAGUCUUCUAAACAGAAAGACCUAUUCUAAAGCAAAGAAUCCCAAAUAAAAUGGGAUUUUAUUUAUUGGCUAAUAUUGACUAAAUCUAACAAUUCCUCCUUUAAACUAAAUGCUGAAAGAAUUUAGUUUAGGGCAAAUUUCACUUUACCUCCCUGUGAUUUAGCAUUUUUUCACAUAACCCCCCUAUAGUUUCAAAAGCUAUAUAUAACCCCCUUAUGGUUUGGAUUAAAGUGUCAAAGUAACGGAAAUAGUCACUCGUAACGGCGUUACCUAAAAUGUCAAAAAUACCCUUAUGUAUAGUUGAAAUUUAUGUAUUAACCAAUGGGGGUUAUAUGUAUAUUUUGAAAAUCAUAAGGGGGUUAUAUGGUAAAGGGUUAACAACAUAAAAGGCCCCUGUGGUAUAGCUAUCAUACAGAAAAACCCCCUGUGGUUUCAUAUCAUACGUGUCAGUACCUCAUGGUUUGAAUUAUUCUGAAAUAUCGACGGAAAUCAUCAAAUGUAACGGAGUUAAGUGAAACGACGAAAAUACCCUUUUAAUAUAAGCGAAAAUUGCAGAAGUAUCUUGUACUGGUAUCGAUACUAAUGCUUCUCUCUCUAAUGCUCAAGAUUCUGAUCGAUCUGAAGGCGCAAGUGUUUCUGAAUGUCUCCAUGGCGAGGUUGAUAUUGGCAGUCAUGAAACUUUUCAACCAAAUGGGGAUCAAACCAAUAGAACAGCAAAAUCUGGGAUAGUGUCUCAGUUGGUUGAAAGCAAAAAGUGAAUGCCGCCAGACCAAUGGUAAUGAUGUGAUGUAGAUUGAUAUUCCUAAUGAUUUGAUGCAGGUUGAUAUUCCAGAUACUAAGUCUUUAGAGGACUAGAAAGAUAUAGGAGUUGGAGAACAGUACCAGCAUGAUGGACAGGUUAACCAUAAAGAGCAAGAUUUAUCAAGUCCAGAAAAUGCUUCUGAGACGGACCCAACAGAAAGAAUGGACGAGAAAACAGAAAAGCUUCCAAGCUUGCUGAGUAUACAUCAAGCAGGAUAUGUUUCACCACCACAGAAUGAAAAUGAAUUCUCCAUAACAGAUUUAGUUUGGGGAAAAGUCAGAAGCCAUCCUUGGUGGUCUGGACAAAUAUCUGAUCCUGCUGAUGCUUCAGAGAAGGCAGUCAAAUAUUACAAAAUGAACUGUUUUCUCGUAGCAUAUUUUGGAGACCGAACUUUUGCUUGGAAUGAUGCAUCUCUCCUAAAGCCCUUCCGGCCACAUUUCUCUCAGAUAGAGAAGCAAAGUAACUCAGAAGCAUUUUAAAAUGCUGUUAGCUGUGCUUUGGAUGAGGUUAAAAGACGUGUUGAGCUAGGUCUAGCCUGCUCUUGUAUACCAAAGACAUGCAUAUAAAAGAUUGAAUAUCAGAUUGUUGAAAACACUGGGAUCCAAGAGGAAUCAAGCAGAAGAAAAGGUGUCGAAGGGUAAAGUUCUCUUGUUAUUAAAGUGUGAAGGGUAAAGUAGGCAUAUUAGGAACAAGUUUGUGGUAGAAAUCUAUUUUUCACAAGAAACACGCGCAUUUCCGGUGCGUUUAAGACAAACGCCAUACAUUUGACGAUUUCCGUCCAAUUUUCAAAAUAAUUCAAACUAUGAGGUACCGACACGUAUGAUAUCAAACCACAGGAGGCUUUUCUGUAUGAUGGCUAUACCACAGGGGGCUUUUUUGUUUUUAACCCUAUGGUAAAAUAUAAAAAUUAUACGGGGGUUAUAUGGUAAAAUUUUUAGAAGUUCCGUUACGAGUGACUAUUUCCGUUACUUUGACACUUUAAUUCAAACUAUGAAGGGGUUAUGUAUAGCUUUUGAAACCAUAGGGGGUUAUAUAAAAAAAGGGUAAACCACAGGAGGGUAAAAUGUAAUUUACCCUUUAGUUUAUACUGUUCUCUGCACAAACGCCAAGCAUAGUACGCAGCUUCAGAAAAUCAUCCAACUUAAGAGGCUUUGUCAUCACAUCAGCUAUUUGUUCCAAAGUAUUGCAAUGAACUACCUCUAUCAUACCUGCCUGUGCGAGUUCUCGAAGGAAAUGGAAACGAACAUCUAUAUGCUUGCUACGACCAUGCAUAACUGGGUUUCUUAAGAGCUUGAUUGCAGAACUAUUGUCACAAUGGAUAGUAUUUUUCUCUUACUGAGGCUGAUCCAGCGUUUUGAGCACCCUUUUUAACCAAAUUGCUUGACAAGCACAAGCAGCAGCAGCAAUAAAUUCAGCUUCGGUGAUAGACAGGCUCACAAUAGGUUGUUUCUUAGAAGACCAUGAUAUAGCUCCUAAACCGAAGAGAAAAACAUAGCCUGAUGUAUUUUUUCUAUCAUCCAAGUCACCCGCAUAAUCACUAUCAGUGUAUGCUAUAAGAUCAUCAUUUCCUCCCUUCUUAUAGAAAAUUCCAUAUUCAGUUGUUCCUUGCAAAUACCUCAACACUCUCUUUGCCAGUUGCAAAUGAAGCUGAGUAGGAUUCUCCAUAUAUCUGCUCAAAAGACUUACUGCAAACAUCAUAUCUGGACGAGUCGCAGUAAGAUACAUAAGACAGCCUACAAGUUGUUUGAAGUGAGUCUUGUCCACCUUAAUUCCUUUUUCAUCCUUGCAAAGCUCAGAAUUGCUUUGAUUCAUUUCAAAACGUUGCAACACCUCCUGAGCAUACAUUCUUUGACCGAUAAAAAUUUCACCGGAUUUCUGCAAAACUUCGAGACCCAAAAAAUAUUUCAUUUUACCAAGAUCAGUCAUAUCAAACUCAUUCUUUGUCAAGUUCUGAAACUCAGUAAACAUCAGCUCAUCAUUUCCUAUGAAAAGAAGAUCGUCAACAUAUAAACUUACAAUGAGCAUGCUGCCCUCCAUGUUUCAUUUAACAAAAAGGGUAUGCAUAUAAUCACAUUUUUGAAAACCUUCCUUCAUGAAAUAUGUUUCAAUACGGCUGUACCAAGCACGCGGAGCUUGUUUAAGCCCAUAAAGAGCUUUCUUCAGCUUGUACACUUUUUCCUCCUUUUCCUUUUGAAUGUAACCACACGGCUGCUCAACAAAAACAUCUUCAACCAGUUCUCCAUGUAAAAAGGCAGACUUCACAUCUAAUUGAUAGAUAGCCCAUCCUUUUUGUGCUGCUAAAGCGAUCACCAAUCGAACAGUCUCCAUACGAGCCACUAGAGCAAACACUUCUGUGUAAUCUAUACCAUAUUGUUGUGCAUAUCCUUUUACAACCAGCCUCGCCUUAAACUUGUCGACUUCUCCCUUUUCAUUAAGUUUAGUCUUGUAGACCCACUUGACUCCAACUAUUUUGACUCCUUUUGGUCGAUCGAUUAGUUCCCAUGUGCCAUUUUUCUCAAUCGCCACAAUCUCAGCAUCCAUGGCAUUUCUCCAUUUUUCAUUCUGUACAGCUUCUUCAUAACUAAAUGGAUCGGCAGUCGCUGUAUAUGAGGAAAAAAAUGUUCCUGCCUCUUCAUCAGACAAACCUUCACCUGAAACAUAAUCUUUCAACCAACUUGAUUGUUUCCUACUCCUCCCUUCCACGGGAUCUGGAGAAGUUUCUUGAUUAGUGGCAAGAGAUUCCUCUGACUGUGUGUCAGCAGCAUCUUCUUCUACAUGAGAUUCUUCAGUCACUACCUUUUCAUCAUCUUCCCAUUCCAGCUCGCAAGUAACAGCUGAUUCAUGUUGCUUGUCCCAUUCCCAUUCUUCACAUUCUUCAAAAACUACAUCUCUGCUCACCACAAUCCUUUGUGAGAUAGGAUCAUAGAGCCUAUAUGCCUUUGAUUCCUCGCUAAUUCCUAGUAAAACAUAUUUCAAGCUUUUCUCAUCUAGUUUAGUUCUCGAACUAUCAGGCACGUAAGCAUAGGAGACACAACCAAAAAUUUGAAAUGUUGAACUGAUGGCUUGAUUCCGCUUCAGGCUUCUUCGGACGUUUUGUCCUUUACAACCAGCAUUGGACUACGAUUUAAAACGUGCACAACCCAAUUUACUGCUUCUGGCCAGAAAGUUUUGGGCAUGUUCUUUUCAGAUAGCAUGCUACGAACCAAAUUCAUGAUAGUUCGAUUCUUCUGUUUUGCAACACCAUUUUGUUGUGGUGAAUAUGCAGCUGUCAAUUGUCUUUACACUCCAUGUUCCUUGCAGAAAUUGUUGAAUUCUCGAGAUGUAAACUCUCCAUCACAAUCCGUAUGCAACAUUUUUAGAGACAUAUCUGUUGCUUUCUCAACAUGUAUCUUGAAGCUCUUAAAAAUGGUAAAAGCUUCUGAUUUUUCUGCCAAAAAAUACACCCAUGUUUUUCGGCUAAAAUCAUCAAUAAAAGUAAUCAAAUACCUUUUCUUGCUAUUCGAGGCUGGCUUAAUUGGUCUGCAAAUGUCGACAUGAACUAGCUGCAGAAUCUGAGAUGCUCUCCAAGAACUUUUCGUUGGAAAUGAAUCUCAAUGUUGCUUCCCCACCAGACAAUCUUUGCACAGCUUAAGUAAUGGUAGACCUUUCACCAUUUGUUUUUUCUGCAAUGUUUGUAAGCCUUUGAAGCUUAAAUGCCCAAACUUGCAAUGCCACAGCUGCGCUACAUCUUCUGUGACUGUGUUAAAACAAGUGGGUUCUAUAGGCAAAGAGAUGGCAUGCAAGAUGAACAUUCGAUUUGCAGACAUAUUAGCUUUCAUGAUCAAUCCUUUGUCAGGAUGAUAUAUUUUGCAUUGCCCUUGUUGGAAUAAAAUGCUCAGCCCCUUCUCUUGCAAUUGUCCCAGACUCGGCAGAUUAUUCUUCAAUUCCGGAACAUAAAAGACUCCUGAGAUGAUGCUAACAACUCCAUCAAUUUCCAACCUGAUGUUGCCCUUCCCAUUGUCCACCAUGUUUGAAUUAUUUCCCAACUUCACUGAAUCUGUGAAUUUUUCAUCAAAAUCUGAAAAAUAUUCUCUUUUUCCACUCAUGUGAUUGCUGUACCCAGAGUCAAGAAACCACAUGUCUAUUUUGUGUUGCUCCUUUUCUUCAACAUAAGCCAUCAGCAGCAUGUGUUCUUCACUCUCCACUUGACUCUCUGCAAAAUUGGCCUUUCCUUUCUUGCAUUCCCACUGAAAAUGACCAAGCUUGUGACAAGCGUAACACUUCACAAUUGCUUUGUCAAAGCUUUGUCUGCUUCUUCCACGGCCUCUGCCUCCAAAGCUCCCACGCCCUCUCCCUCGUCCUGCAUAUUGGUUUCCAUGAGUCACCUUCAGUGCAUGUUCUUCAUGUACAGUGUUACUCAUACGUUGUUCGUGCACGAGCAAACUGCUUUGCAGCUCAUCAAUUGACAAAAUACUUGUAUCCUUAGAUUCUUCAAUUGAACAGACGACAUAAUUAAACUUAGGUGUCAUUGACCUCAGAAUCUUUUCCACAACAGCAAUAUCUUUCAACUCUUCACCAUUUGCUUUCAUCUUGUUGGUGAUGACAAGAACACGAGCAAUGUACGCAUUCACAGAUUCUCCUUCCUUCAUGUGAGCAAUUUCAUACUCCUUUCGCAAUGCCUAUAGAUGAGCACGUUUUACUCGUGUUGUUCCUUGAUAUUUCUGCUUCAUAGAGUCCCAAAUACUCUUUGACGUAUCUUUGUUAACGAUAGUCUACAAAAUGGAACGAUUUAACGCCUGAAACAUAUAGUUCUUAACUUUGAGAUCCUUCAACUUCUGCUCUUCACAAGUUUUCUUUUGUGCCUCAAUUAAAGUCACACCUUCUGCUGCUGCAGAAACUCCAUUUUCUACCACAUUCCAGUACUCCUUUGAUCGAAGAAAAUUUUCCAUAAGCAUCGCCCAAUGAUUGUAGUGACCAUCGAACCUAUGCACUGCUGGUUGAAUAAAGGCACCCUCUGUUGCUAUUUUCGUUGCCGAAACUCCCUUAGAAGACUGUUGCUUCUACCUACCGAGCCUCUUGCGAGGCUCUGAUACCAAAUGAUAAGGUUAACAGUAAAGAGUAUUUCAGAGAAAAGAAAGUAUGGAAGGAAUUCAGUGUAUCUUUGAAUGAGAAAUAUUUAGGCUAUAAAUAGCCGUACAAAGCAAACAGAAAAUACAAUAAAUAAGGAGUCUACUGCUAACAGUCUUCUAAACAGAAAGACCUAUUCUAAAGCAAAGAAUCCCAAAUAAAAUGGGAUUUUAUUUACUGGCUAAUAUUGACUAAAUCUAACACGGCAAAAGCUACAAAAGACAGAAAAAGAAAAGAAAUGGGAAGAGAGAAUUUUUUUCCCAAAAAAAGCUGUGAACAGGGUUGAUGAAUUAGCCCUAUUUCUCACCUAAAUCCGACUUCAAUCGUAGUCCUUUACGAGAGAACUUUGUUUCUACACAAUCUAGGAUCCUCGAGAAACAACUUUAGUUUUGAAAAUUUUUAGAGAAAAUGUCUCCAAAUCCUUCAAAUCAAGGCUUGAAUUUGUCACUUCAUUAACACUUGAAUCUCCACAAUAGGAGCUUGUUUGCUUCGUUUCAAGAAUUUGGGUGCAUUUUCUUGAGACUUCCUAUGUUUAUUCGAGUCCACAAGCAUCUAUAGGUGACUACAGCUUCUUCUCUUGAUUGAUUUAACGAUUUGCAUGAAGUUUUUAAGCCCUCACAUGAGUUUCAAGGGUUUGAGCCUUAAAUCUCAUUUUGCAUGAUUUAUGAUGUUUAGGAAUUUGGUUUAAUGAUUUGUACGAGUUCACAAAGUUGCAAGGAUCAUGCUUGAACCAAAACUAGACCCUAAGUGCUCUUGGAAGUUUUUUCCGGCGAGAUUCUGGCUAUUUGGUCUGUUCUUGGUUCCACCGGAAGCUGGUUCGUAGUUCUUCCUUUUCAUUUUUGCUUGUCUUUCUUUGUUUGAUCCUUUAGGAGUUGGAGUUUGUUAUUGGGUCUUGUUAAAAAAAUGGGCUAACGUUUUAUGCUGCGUUUUGGUUAAUAUGUUGUUGGGUUCUGAUUUUUCUUUCUACGCGUGGGCUAUGAUAUUUAUCUACCAGGCUACUCACUAUUUUGUUUGGGCUAGGACACUAAAGCCCAGAUUUAGCCUAGUUAAUAAGGAAUGGCUUUGUAAUCUAAAUCAAGACUAUUGUUUCCUUUCUUUCUUCUGUUUAUUAUCUCUUUGGUAAUUUUAGACGUUUAUGCACUUUUGAUGUGUUCUGAAAUUUCGGUUAAGUGAAUAGUAUGUUAUUUGCUGAUUUGAUUCUAUGAGAAAAUAUGUUUGCAAUUUGGCUUUCCAAUUUUUGCAUAAUUACACUAGGGCCCAAAAUUAUGAAAAAUGGAUAUAUUUCUUCCCCUUUAAAGUCUUGAUUUCUCUUCAUAUGUUUUAUGCAUGUUUUGAGUAAAUUAAUUAUGGUCUUUAGAAUAUAAUUGUGACUUUGAAUACAAUUUAUUGGUUUUUAAUUACAUAAUUUUAGAAAUUUAUACAAACGAUUUAGAUAAGAAGUAGGCUGAUGUGUUGUUUUUUGUUGGGUUUGUGACAUGGGCUUUGAACUCAAGCCCAAUGUCUUAAUAGGUGUAAAGUUGUAAAGAUGAAUUGGGUUGGACUGUUUUUUAAAUAAGAUGGAUGUGCUUAUUUUUCUUGGAUCAAAAUGACACAACCUAACAUUUUUUUUUGUUUAUGUAAUAAAAAACAAAUUUUAUAAUUUAGCCCCUGAUUUUUAAGUAAAUUUAUUAUAACCCUAAAAUUUUGAAUUUCUUUUAUUUACGUCCUUAAUUUAAUUGCAUUUUAGCCGCUAAUCUUUUGAAAAUUAUAAUUUGACUCCAAAAACUUUUCUAAUUUUUAUAAUUUAGUCCUUAUUAGUUUUUUAUUUUUCAAUUACAAUUGUUUCUCUUCUUUAAUUGCUAAUUAUUUUUCAUUUAAAUGUUUUUAAUUUAUAAAUUUUGUUUGCUUUAUGUUUAUUUACAUUUUUCACAAUAAAAAGGGGAGUCUAGUAUAUGUUUACAUUCUCUUUCAAAAUUGUCAAUUAAAUUGGUGUAUUAACCCUUGUGUUGAUUUUGAAAAAAUAGAUAACUCUCCCUUCCUCUUAUUUAGCUGCUACUUCAAAAGGAAGGUAUACCUAUUAUCCUUUAAAUUAUUUUAUGUGCUCUUAUGUGUUUAUAUGUUUAUGUCUUUUUUCUUCAUUUAUGUAUUUUAAAUUUUUAUUCAUUUUGUACUUGUUUAAUUUAAGUCUUAUGAUUAUUUGUAGGGUAUUUAAAUACCCAAAAUGUAAUAGAUAGGUAAUAUUCUCUUACUCAAGAAAUAUAAUUAGAUAGCCAAUGUAAUAUAUAGGUUUUAUUUUUAGCAAGAAAUGUAAUUAGUUAGAUAAAUGUAAUAGAUAUGUUAGAUAGGUUUAUUAUAUUAUAUUUUCCCUUUUAAAUUGUAGUUAGGACACCCAAUAUAAUAGUUAAGUUUUAUGUAUUUGUGUGUUUAUGUGCUUAUGUGUUUUAUUCGCUUUCUGUAAAAUUUUGCAUCUUGAUAUUAUGCUAUGUGUUAUGUGCUCUACAUAUUAUAUGUGAUUUUAUGUGUUUAUUUGUUUUAAUUAUGCUCUAUAUGUUUUAUUUAUUUAUAAUGAGUGCAUGACAUCACCAUACUAGUCCAAUGUUAGUUAUGAUUUUUCUCUCUGAUUUCUCACUAGUCCAACGCUAGUGAGAGAUUGUAGAUUUUUAUUCUUGGGCGCGACCUAUUCUAUGGAAAAAAAGAAGUCCAAAACAGAGAAAUAUAACUUGACUCAUAUCACAGAACAUGCCAUAUCUACCCAACCACAUGUCUUUACAUGUUCAUAUGUCCACUUAUACAAGCCAGAAACUGUCCCCCGUGAGCUCUUAAAUGCUAUGGUACCUCCAAACAGUCCUACCACAUUUCUUUACACGUUCUUUUGUGCACUCAUUCAAGCUGCAACUACACCCACCACGAGCUCUUUAAAGGCUAUCGUACCCAAGUUUGCUGGUGAGAGCAAUUUACGAAAACUUGCAUAUAGAAUAUUCAUGAACCGCAUAACUAGCCCAUUUAUAAUUUCACUAAUCCUAACUGAAUGUACUGAUUAGUAAAAUUGCAUUUGAUACCUUCAUCCAAUUCAAUCGGUUAAUCAAUGAUCAAUUAACCCUUAGGAUAAGGUUGGAUGUAUAGGAUAACCUAACCUUCUUCUACUUAUAAGAAAAAAAAUUAGAUUAACAAAUCAAAUAAUACAAUAUUUUUCCAAAUCGAUGAGAGUACUCAAUCCUACAACUCUAAAAAACUAUCAACAAAAUAGAAAAUCAAAGCACAUCACAUAAUUAAAACACCGAAUAUUUCAAAUAUUUUGUUUUCAUUUUCUCUAGUUCUUAAAAGCUAUCAAUUUAUUUUUUAAUAAAGAUGAUAGGUUACUCCACAACCAAACACGUAAGUUUCAAAUAUUAAAAACAAAACAAUUAGUAGAGUGACGAAAUGCAUAGAAUUUGUGAGAAAUGAAAAGAAGUUUUUAAAUAAAAACAAGAGAAAAAGAGUGGCAAAGUGUGUAAAAUGAACAAUUGAGGUCGGCAUAGUGAUAAGAAGAGGAUUAUUAAUCUUUUCCGCUAUUAAAUUCAGGAUUCAAAUCCCAUACCUGAUAGAUAGAGGUGGAUAGGGUGGAAGAGUAAAAAAGAAAAAAGUUAAUUUAUAAAAAUGGAAAUUAGUGACAAUAAAUGUAGGAAGUGGAAAAGGUAAAUGGGAGAUAGACUUAGAUAAAUAAUUUUUUAAGUUUUGAAAAACAAAAUAUAAUGAUCCUUCUAACUCAAAUUAUUAGUAGAUGACUAAAUAAUUUUAGUUUCCAAUUUGGAUACUGGUUACCCAAAACAACUGCAUAUCCUACACAUAUGCGAGUAGUUUCAAUAAUCGUAGUCUUUUAAAACUGAAAAUCAUAUCCUAACCUAAUUUUUUUUAGCAAGUUCGGGUAAUCUAGCCAUUUCAAAAAUUAUAGAUUGAAUACCCUAUGUUUCGAUUUGGAUCAAUUCAGUUUUCUCGAUUAACCGACUUUUUGAUACUUUUUCAGCACCCCUACUUACAGAGUUCAUUGAUUAAUAUUUGUCCCAUUCCAUCCACGGCCACAUAAACCCAAUGCUCCAAUUUUCUAAAAUUUUGCAACAUGAAGACACCAAAAUUACGCUCGUUACAGCUGAAUUCUUGCUUAAAACCGAGCAAGAAGUCUCAAAUUCUAUCUCAGUGGAGAACAUCUCUGAUGGAUAUGCUCCUAUUUUUUUGUCUGCUUUUGUGGUUUCCUGUGGAUGAAGGUUAGUAAACUAUCGUAAAAGUCUUUAGACUUUGGUAAAAAAGAUUAGAAAGUUUGCCCAAAAUGUCCAAAACAGACAUUGUUAUUUUAACCACUGGGCCAAUGGCUCAGUGGCCACCAGGGAGGGACUUAAGUCACUCCUUGGGCUGUAGGUUGAGGGUUCAAACCUCACCUGCAGCGAAAAAAAUCUAAGAGUUGUGUCAUAGCACUCCCUUGGUCUAGUUGGGUCUGUAUACCCACUAGCCCUCACCACAGCCUCCUUAGGCUCCACCUCCCCCUAGAUUAGGAUAGAAUAUGUUAUACAAAUGUAUCGUUACUGAAAAAAAAAAAAGGAGAACAUCUCUGAAAUUGACAGGUGUCGAGCCUGUCCAAUAAUAAUUACCUACUCGAGAAAAAUACAGAUUUUGUAUAUAGCGGUGAGUAGGGUCGAAUCCACAGGGAUUGGGGAUAACUUAUUUCUUUUAGAGUCCGAAGUAUGGGGGGUUUCUGGAGAAUAUGAAAUAACUAAUUAACUAACUAAUAAAGCAACUAAUAGAAAUAAAUAGAAAGUAAUCAAUAACCAAUACGACUCUAACCAAAGGUACAACUUUUCAGAUACGGUCCAUUCAACUGAUCAUCGAUGCAAAGAUAUUUCAUCCAUUUGUCAUUAGGUUGGUUAUAAUUAUCAACAAGCUCUGAUAACCAAUUCUUCCUUACCUUUUCGACAGUCAAGGUACGACCAUUAACUGCUCCCCUAACCAGAUAACAACCCUAGGUACGACCGUAGGAAUUUAAUUAUCCAAUUGCAUUAGAGCUAGAAGAACCCAACCCUAACCAAUAAACACGCUAAGAGGGUUUAUUUAAGUUAGAUCUUGCGUUUCCCCAUCAUAAAGCCAAUUAUGGUGGUUGCCACGGGGUGUUAACUAAAUGAACAAUUACGGAUUCUAUUUAAUUAACGUGGCAGUAGGCUAUUAAAUUAAAUCAAAUACCCGGCCGUUGAUAUUCAAUUAAUAAAAUACCCAUGAACAAUUAAUUCAGGAAACGCACGAAUAGCAAUUAAUUGGAGGAAAUAAUGAAGAUUCGGUUAGAUCUCACAGAUAUUAUGGACCGCACCCUCGCGUCGACCUUUGGGUAGAGGAGAAAAUUAGCCGCUCCUCAUCGUGUCAAUCCCGCGUGAUUUAAUUGAAUUCAUUCAAUUAAUUUCCCAAGAAUCAAUUGCCCAGAAAUUGGGGAGGAUGAAUUAAUCGAAGAAACAAUCAAUGAAAAACCUGGCUCUGUCUUGUAUUGGAGCCGCAAUUACAAAGCAAAAGCCAACGGAGAAUUGUCAAAGGCGAAAAGAGCGAAUUCGGGAGUCAGAGUCGCAUAAAAGCAAAAGCUACAGAAAAGGAGAAAGUCUCCAAUGUCUGACCCAAAGCCGCAGAAGAAAACAAAAGAAAAACAAAAGCGUCUGACCAAUCUUGCAAAAAGGUAAAACUAAGGCUAAAAGUAGUGAUGAUCCCUGAAUCCUGCUUUUUUCCUCCUUUUAUAGCCGCCGCAGGAGCUCUCCAGACGUCUGGCCCAAUUCCUCCCAACAAAAGCUAGCCUUUUGGAGUUUUUAUCCCAUGUUUCUCGCGGUUCACGUGGACCGCAGUCCGGCUUUCGGUUUCGUCCACCUUCUAAGACGUGGCCACGCCCUGAGACGAAAAGUCUUCUGGAAAUUUACCCCGCGAGAUCAUUUUUCAUGCCUACCACCUACAAUUCACACAAAUAUCGAAUAUGAGUGAAAUUCCAAUUCUUAGUACCGUGAAUAGCCAAAAUUAGGACAAAAUAACAGUGCAAAAUACGCCAAAUAACCGUUCUAUCAAAUCCCCCCACACCUAGACAAUGCUUGCCCUCAAGCAUUUCGGAGCUCAAAAGUACAACCAAGAGAGCAGAAGUCAUGUAGUAGUCUAUACUAAUACAAGUCUUUCAGAUCCCUGACAAUAUCUCCAAAAUUAGAACACACCGGACAGGUUGUAACUCAAAGAAAAUACAUGAAUACUAGGAAUGCUCAAAUCAACAUCACAGAAUGGCAUUACCAUAGGCUUGCACAUUUAUCACAUCUCCACCACUCAAAAGUGAACUAAAUACACAAAUCAAAGGGACUUUAAUUGGGUUGUAAUGGGGUUUAGGUAAAAGGCGGGAUAAGAAGGUAAAAAUAGGGUGUAAUGUGUCAAGAGAAUGUCCAAUAUCCACUACAUAACCACAAUGCUUUACCGGGGCAAUUUCUCAAGUAUGGCGUUUUCAUUUGCUGUUUUCAUUGUGCAAGUGUCGAAAAUCGUUCCUCUAUUUUUUAUUUUUUAUUUUUUUUGGAGAGGACGUCUAGCACGGCGUGGGCACGCCCUGGAAGACAGAGUCUUCUGCUCACCAGCUUUUUGCCGAUUUCUCCCCUCUUUUUUUUUUCUUCUUUUCUCUAUUUUUUUCUUGGCUUUUCUUUCGAUAUCAGAUGUACAGAAACAGCACCAUACAACAUCUUUUUGACAACACUUGCGCCCAUAGAUUUAUUUGCCUUGCACAAGUAAUGAAUUUCAGACAUCCCUUAAUGACACAAGGUUGAACAAGAAAGUCUAAAAAGGUCAUGGGUUAUCAAACACGGCUAACAAGCAAAAGUAAAGGACAAAAGUUCAAGUUGGUUCACUAUUGGGAAAUAAGAUGAAGGCAUGGUUUGUAGAAAGUUAAAGAAGGUCAAAUCCUAAAUGCCCUUAUCAUUUCAAAUGCAUCCAAUUCAACAAAAUGUGGUCUUGACAUGUAUAAAAUAGCAAGUUCUAGAAUGUCAAUACCAUGUGCGAUACCCACUCAAUCAAACAAAAAUAGAGUAAACAAGAAUAAUAUGCUCAAGUAAGGCUCAAAAGCUCCCAAAAGUUUCAAGAAUGGGUCAAGUCCAGCAUAUUCAACAUUCAACACUAUUGUCAAGAAGAAACAAAAUGCAUAGCUAGUAUAUAUAACCACAUACCCGUGCACCUUGAUUGUGCAAUCCAUUAUAGCAACAUGCUCUAGCAGUUAACAAAUAUAGGACUAGAGAAGUCAACUAACUACACUUUUUUUUUCUUUUCUUUUUUCUUUCUUUUUUAUUUCAUUUUUCUCCUCUUUUUUUGUGUUUCUCUUUUUUUUUUUUUUUAAAGCAAAGCAAAAGGAGAUAAUAAUGGAAGCCAUCCCCCCACACCUAAUACCUACAUUGCCCUCAAUGUAGAAAAGAUGAAUGAAGUAUAAGGAGAAAAGGAGAGAAACUUCCCUGACCACCGAGAAGAUGCAGCGAGACACUAAGACGAAGGAGGGUGAGAUGGCUGGAAUCCAAUGUGAGCAAAGAAAAUUGUCUGAUGAGAGAGAGAGUCUCUAGCGGCGGUGGACAAGGGGGAAUCCUGGGACUAAAACAAAACAAAGAAGAUUGAAAAGUAGAAGCUGAGACAAUGGAAAUUGACAAGACCAUACAAGACAAGAAAAGAGAAAAGUAGAAAGUGGGAUUAGAGAGGGUCCUGGUCAAUCUUUGACUUUCGUUGGCGCAAAGGCUGGAAGGCGUGGGCACGCCUUAGAAGCUAUAGUCUUCUGACUGUCAAUUCCAAAACUUCACUGCUUAGGCGUGACCACCUAGUGUGGGCAUGUCCAACUGCCAGCUUCCUGCCACAAAACAACAAUCCACUAAAUGACAUUAACACUUAAUAAAAAUUCCAAAAAUAUAAGAAAACUAAAGCAAAAGAAUCCUUGGGUUGCCUCCCAAGCAGCGCCUUUCUUUAAUGUCUUUGGCUAGACAUCGUCAUGUUUAUUCACGGAGGAUAAAAUCGUGUAGCUCGUUUCAGUGCUUCAUCUUCUAUGUAAUCCUGAUAGCCCUCGUAAAUAGAGUAAUUCUUGAGUCCACGAGCUACGGUCUUCCAUGGAUUAGUAGAUGGCGGCAAACAAACAAGUGAUGACACUAAAUCUUCAGUCACUCCUCCAUCACGAGCACUUAGUGGUUCGAGAUAUUUUGCCAUCGCAACCCUUAACUUAUUCCUGUCAUAAAAUUUAAAAUCUUCUGGUAUAAUAAAAUCAAUUUCACCAACAGGAAUUGAAGAAUAAGAGUUAGAAAAAUAUUGAUUAAGGAAUGGAGGAGAUGUCACCGCAUUUGGAGAUUGUUCACUAGAUUCAUUCAUUUGAACAAUUUGAUAUUGGGGUCUCAUGUCUUGCACUUCAACUUUCUUUUCAACUGCAUCUUUAGAUCCUUCUUCAUGAGACUCUUGCAGUUUCAUGUCAUUUGUCAGGAUAAUUAUACCCUCAUCUUCUUCAUGGUCGAUAAUAGUCACUGAGGGCAAUUCUUCACAAAAUGGAGAAAUCAAUUUGCUCAUUGUAGAUGCCAAUUCACGCCUUCCAUCUUCCAUCUCUUUAAUCAACCUUUGUGUCUCCUGUUGAAAUUGACGUGUCUCCUGUUGAAUUUGAUAUGUCUCCUGUUGAAUUUGAUGCGUCUCCUGUUGAAUUUGAUAUGUCUCCUGUUGAAUUUGAUAUGUGUUAGUAGCUAUUAAUUCAACUAUUUCUUCAAGAGACAUAUCUGACAUGGAUGACGGUCCUUGAGACUCUAGCUGUUGAAAAUCUAUUAGCCUUUGUUCAUAAUUAAAAGUGGAAUCAUCCCACCAUCCUUGCUCAUACCCGUUUGAAUAAGGGUCAUGCCACGUUUGAUAUUGAGGUGGAAAAUCCCCAAAAGUAUCGAUUGGAGUACUUCGACCAUCUUAAAAUGCAGGGCAUAUGUCGGGUGAAAAAUUCGAAGCAAAAUAAGCUCCACAAUUUGCAACAGCCCAUUGAUCAUUAGAAAAAGUAUGAGUCUCAUGACCCCUUGUAAAAUUAAAAUCCAGUCUAUCACCAAAAUACGGAAUGUUAGCAGCCAUAAAAUAUAUACAAAAAAAAAUAAGAGAAAAAUAAAAAAAAAUGAACUAAAAAAGAAACAAAUUAAUCAGGCACCAGUCCCCGGCAACGGCGCCAAAAAUUGACAGGUGUCGAGCCUGUCCAAUAAUAAUUACCUACUCGAGAAAAAUACAGAUUUUGUAUAUAGCGGUGAGUAGGGUCGAAUCCACAGGGAUUGGGGAUAACUUAUUUCUUUUAGAGUCCGAAGUAUGGGGGGUUUCUGGAGAAUAUGAAAUAACUAAUUAACUAACUAAUAAAGCAACUAAUAGAAAUAAAUAGAAAGUAAUCAAUAACCAAUACGACUCUAACCAAAGGUACAACUUUUCAGAUACGGUCCAUUCAACUGAUCAUCGAUGCAAAGAUAUUUCAUCCAUUUGUCAUUAGGUUGGUUAUAAUUAUCAACAAGCUCUGAUAACCAAUUCUUCCUUACCUUUUCGACAGUCAAGGUACGACCAUUAACUGCUCCCCUAACCAGAUAACAACCAUAGGUACGACCGUAGGAAUUUAAUUAUCCAAUUGCAUUAGAGCUAGAAGAACCUAACCCUAACCAAUAAACACGCUAAGAGGGUUUAUUUAAGCUAGAUCUUGCGUUUCCCCAUCAUAAAGCCAAUUAUGGUGGUUGCCACGGGGUGUUAACUAAAUGAACAAUUACGGAUUCUAUUUAAUUAACGUGGCAGUAGGCUAUUAAAUUAAAUCAAAUACCCGGCCGUUGAUAUUCAAUUAAUAAAAUACCCAUGAACAAUUAAUUCAGGAAACGCACGAAUAGCAAUUAAUUGGAGGAAAUAAUGAAGAUUCGGUUAGAUCUCACAGAUAUUAUGGACCGCGCCCUCGCGUCGACCUUUGGGUAGAGGAGAAAAUUAGCCGCUCCUCAUCGUGUCAAUCCCGCGUGAUUUAAUUGAAUUCAUUCAAUUAAUUUCCCAACAAUCAAUUGCCCAGAAAUUGGGGAGAAUGAAUUAAUCGAAGAAACAAUCAAUGAAAAACCUGGCUCUGUCUUGUAUUGGAGCCGCAAUUACAAAGCAAAAGCCAACGGAGAAUUGUCAAAGGCGAAAAGAGCGAAUUCGGGAGUCAGAGUCGCAUAAAAGCAAAAGCUACAGAAAAGGAAAGUCUCCAAUGUCUGACCCAAAGCCGCAGAAGAAAACAAAAGAAAAACAAAAGCGUCUGACCAAUCUUGCAAAAAGGUAAAACUAAGGCUAAAAGUAGUGAUGAUCCCUGAAUCCUGCUUUUUUCCUCCUUUUAUAGCCGCCGCAGGAGCUCUCCAGACGUCUGGCCCAAUUCCUCCCAACAAAAGCUAGCCUUUUGGAGUUUUUAUCCCAUGUUUCUCGCGGUUCACGUGGACCGCAGUCCGGCUUUCGGUUUCGUCCACCUUCUAAGACGUGGCCACGCCCUGAGACGAAAAGUCUUCUGGAAAUUUACCCCGCGAGAUCAUUUUUCAUGCCUACCACCUACAAUUCACACAAAUAUCGAAUAUGAGUGAAAUUCCAAUUCUUAGUACCGUGAAUAGCCAAAAUUAGGACAAAAUAACAGUGCAAAAUACGCCAAAUAACCGUUCUAUCAAAUCCCCCCACACCUAGACAAUGCUUGCCCUCAAGCAUUUCGGAGCUCAAAAGUACAACCAAGAGAGCAGAAGUCAUGUAGUAGUCUAUACUAAUACAAGUCUUUCAGAUCCCUGACAAUAUCUCCAAAAUUAGAACACACCGGACAGGUUGUAACUCAAAGAAAAUACAUGAAUACUAGGAAUGCUCAAAUCAACAUCACAGAAUGGCAUUACCAUAGGCUUGCACAUUUAUCACAUCUCCACCACUCAAAAGUGAACUAAAUACACAAAUCAAAGGGACUUUAAUUGGGUUGUAAUGGGGUUUAGGUAAAAGGCGGGAUAAGAAGGUAAAAAUAGGGUGUAAUGUGUCAAGAGAAUGUCCAAUAUCCACUACAUAACCACAAUGCUUUACCGGGGCAAUUUCUCAAGUAUGGCGUUUUCAUUUGCUGUUUUCAUUGUGCAAGUGUCGAAAAUCGUUCCUCUAUUUUUUAUUUUUUAUUUUUUUUGGAGAGGACGUCUAGCACGGCGUGGGCACGCCCUGGAAGACAGAGUCUUCUGCUCACCAGCUUUUUGCCGAUUUCUCCCCUCUUUUUUUUUUCUUCUUUUCUCUAUUUUUUUCUUGGCUUUUCUUUCGAUAUCAGAUGUACAGAAACAGCACCAUACAACAUCUUUUUGACAACACUUGCGCCCAUAGAUUUAUUUGCCUUGCACAAGUAAUGAAUUUCAGACAUCCCUUAAUGACACAAGGUUGAACAAGAAAGUCUAAAAAGGUCAUGGGUUAUCAAACACGGCUAACAAGCAAAAGUAAAGGACAAAAGUUCAAGUUGGUUCACUAUUGGGAAAUAAGAUGAAGGCAUGGUUUGUAGAAAGUUAAAGAAGGUCAAAUCCUAAAUGCCCUUAUCAUUUCAAAUGCAUCCAAUUCAACAAAAUGUGGUCUUGACAUGUAUAAAAUAGCAAGUUCUAGAAUGUCAAUACCAUGUGCGAUACCCACUCAAUCAAACAAAAAUAGAGUAAACAAGAAUAAUAUGCUCAAGUAAGGCUCAAAAGCUCCCAAAAGUUUCAAGAAUGGGUCAAGUCCAGCAUAUUCAACAUUCAACACUAUUGUCAAGAAGAAACAAAAUGCAUAGCUAGUAUAUAUAACCACAUACCCGUGCACCUUGAUUGUGCAAUCCAUUAUAGCAACAUGCUCUAGCAGUUAACAAAUAUAGGACUAGAGAAGUCAACUAACUACACUUUUUUUUUCUUUUCUUUUUUCUUUCUUUUUUAUUUCAUUUUUCUCCUCUUUUUUUGUGUUUCUCUUUUUUUUUUUUUUUAAAGCAAAGCAAAAGGAGAUAAUAAUGGAAGCCAUCCCCCCACACCUAAUACCUACAUUGCCCUCAAUGUAGAAAAGAUGAAUGAAGUAUAAGGAGAAAAGGAGAGAAACUUCCCUGACCACCGAGAAGAUGCAGCGAGACACUAAGACGAAGGAGGGUGAGAUGGCUGGAAUCCAAUGUGAGCAAAGAAAAUUGUCUGAUGAGAGAGAGAGUCUCUAGCGGCGGUGGACAAGGGGGAAUCCUGGGACUAAAACAAAACAAAGAAGAUUGAAAAGUAGAAGCUGAGACAAUGGAAAUUGACAAGACCAUACAAGACAAGAAAAGAGAAAAGUAGAAAGUGGGAUUAGAGAGGGUCCUGGUCAAUCUUUGACUUUCGUUGGCGCAAAGGCUGGAAGGCGUGGGCACGCCUUAGAAGCUAUAGUCUUCUGACUGUCAAUUCCAAAACUUCACUGCUUAGGCGUGACCACCUAGUGUGGGCAUGUCCAACUGCCAGCUUCCUGCCACAAAACAACAAUCCACUAAAUGACAUUAACACUUAAUAAAAAUUCCAAAAAUAUAAGAAAACUAAAGCAAAAGAAUCCUUGGGUUGCCUCCCAAGCAGCGCCUUUCUUUAAUGUCUUUGGCUAGACAUCGUCAUGUUUAUUCACGGAGGAUAAAAUCGUGUAGCUCGUUUCAGUGCUUCAUCUUCUAUGUAAUCCUGAUAGCCCUCGUAAAUAGAGUAAUUCUUGAGUCCACGAGCUACGGUCUUCCAUGGAUUAGUAGAUGGCGGCAAACAAACAAGUGAUGACACUAAAUCUUCAGUCACUCCUCCAUCACGAGCACUUAGUGGUUCGAGAUAUUUUGCCAUCGCAACCCUUAACUUAUUCCUGUCAUAAAAUUUAAAAUCUUCUGGUAUAAUAAAAUCAAUUUCACCAACAGGAAUUGAAGAAUAAGAGUUAGAAAAAUAUUGAUUAAGGAAUGGAGGAGAUGUCACCGCAUUUGGAGAUUGUUCACUAGAUUCAUUCAUUUGAACAAUUUGAUAUUGGGGUCUCAUGUCUUGCACUUCAACUUUCUUUUCAACUGCAUCUUUAGAUCCUUCUUCAUGAGACUCUUGCAGUUUCAUGUCAUUUGUCAGGAUAAUUAUACCCUCAUCUUCUUCAUGGUCGAUAAUAGUCACUGAGGGCAAUUCUUCACAAAAUGGAGAAAUCAAUUUGCUCAUUGUAGAUGCCAAUUCACGCCUUCCAUCUUCCAUCUCUUUAAUCAACCUUUGUGUCUCCUGUUGAAAUUGACGUGUCUCCUGUUGAAUUUGAUAUGUCUCCUGUUGAAUUUGAUGCGUCUCCUGUUGAAUUUGAUAUGUCUCCUGUUGAAUUUGAUAUGUGUUAGUAGCUAUUAAUUCAACUAUUUCUUCAAGAGACAUAUCUGACAUGGAUGACGGUCCUUGAGACUCUAGCUGUUGAAAAUCUAUUAGCCUUUGUUCAUAAUUAAAAGUGGAAUCAUCCCACCAUCCUUGCUCAUACCCGUUUGAAUAAGGGUCAUGCCACGUUUGAUAUUGAGGUGGAAAAUCCCCAAAAGUAUCGAUUGGAGUACUUCGACCAUCUUAAAAUGCAGGGCAUAUGUCGGGUGAAAAAUUCGAAGCAAAAUAAGCUCCACAAUUUGCAACAGCCCAUUGAUCAUUAGAAAAAGUAUGAGUCUCAUGACCCCUUGUAAAAUUAAAAUCCAGUCUAUCACCAAAAUACGGAAUGUUAGCAGCCAUAAAAUAUAUACAAAAAAAAAUAAGAGAAAAAUAAAAAAAAAUGAACUAAAAAAGAAACAAAUUAAUCAGGCACCAGUCCCCGGCAACGGCGCCAAAAAUUGACAGGUGUCGAGCCUGUCCAAUAAUAAUUACCUACUCGAGAAAAAUACAGAUUUUGUAUAUAGCGGUGAGUAGGGUCGAAUCCACAGGGAUUGGGGAUAACUUAUUUCUUUUAGAGUCCGAAGUAUGGGGGGUUUCUGGAGAAUAUGAAAUAACUAAUUAACUAACUAAUAAAGCAACUAAUAGAAAUAAAUAGAAAGUAAUCAAUAACCAAUACGACUCUAACCAAAGGUACAACUUUUCAGAUACGGUCCAUUCAACUGAUCAUCGAUGCAAAGAUAUUUCAUCCAUUUGUCAUUAGGUUGGUUAUAAUUAUCAACAAGCUCUGAUAACCAAUUCUUCCUUACCUUUUCGACAGUCAAGGUACGACCAUUAACUGCUCCCCUAACCAGAUAACAACCAUAGGUACGACCGUAGGAAUUUAAUUAUCCAAUUGCAUUAGAGCUAGAAGAACCCAACCCUAACCAAUAAACACGCUAAGAGGGUUUAUUUAAGCUAGAUCUUGCGUUUCCCCAUCAUAAAGCCAAUUAUGGUGGUUGCCACGGGGUGUUAACUAAAUGAACAAUUACGGAUUCUAUUUAAUUAACGUGGCAGUAGGCUAUUAAAUUAAAUCAAAUACCCGGCCGUUGAUAUUCAAUUAAUAAAAUACCCAUGAACAAUUAAUUCAGGAAACGCACGAAUAGCAAUUAAUUGGAGGAAAUAAUGAAGAUUCGGUUAGAUCUCACAGAUAUUAUGGACCGCGCCCUCGCGUCGACCUUUGGGUAGAGGAGAAAAUUAGCCGCUCCUCAUCGUGUCAAUCCCGCGUGAUUUAAUUGAAUUCAUUCAAUUAAUUUCCCAACAAUCAAUUGCCCAGAAAUUGGGGAGAAUGAAUUAAUCGAAGAAACAAUCAAUGAAAAACCUGGCUCUGUCUUGUAUUGGAGCCGCAAUUACAAAGCAAAAGCCAACGGAGAAUUGUCAAAGGCGAAAAGAGCGAAUUCGGGAGUCAGAGUCGCAUAAAAGCAAAAGCUACAGAAAAGGAGAAAGUCUCCAAUGUCUGACCCAAAGCCGCAGAAGAAAACAAAAGAAAAACAAAAGCGUCUGACCAAUCUUGCAAAAAGGUAAAACUAAGGCUAAAAGUAGUGAUGAUCCCUGAAUCCUGCUUUUUUCCUCCUUUUAUAGCCGCCGCAGGAGCUCUCCAGACGUCUGGCCCAAUUCCUCCCAACAAAAGCUAGCCUUUUGGAGUUUUUAUCCCAUGUUUCUCGCGGUUCACGUGGACCGCAGUCCGGCUUUCGGUUUCGUCCACCUUCUAAGACGUGGCCACGCCCUGAGACGAAAAGUCUUCUGGAAAUUUACCCCGCGAGAUCAUUUUUCAUGCCUACCACCUACAAUUCACACAAAUAUCGAAUAUGAGUGAAAUUCCAAUUCUUAGUACCGUGAAUAGCCAAAAUUAGGACAAAAUAACAGUGCAAAAUACGCCAAAUAACCGUUCUAUCAAAUCCCCCCACACCUAGACAAUGCUUGCCCUCAAGCAUUUCGGAGCUCAAAAGUACAACCAAGAGAGCAGAAGUCAUGUAGUAGUCUAUACUAAUACAAGUCUUUCAGAUCCCUGACAAUAUCUCCAAAAUUAGAACACACCGGACAGGUUGUAACUCAAAGAAAAUACAUGAAUACUAGGAAUGCUCAAAUCAACAUCACAGAAUGGCAUUACCAUAGGCUUGCACAUUUAUCACAUCUCCACCACUCAAAAGUGAACUAAAUACACAAAUCAAAGGGACUUUAAUUGGGUUGUAAUGGGGUUUAGGUAAAAGGCGGGAUAAGAAGGUAAAAAUAGGGUGUAAUGUGUCAAGAGAAUGUCCAAUAUCCACUACAUAACCACAAUACUUUACCGGGGCAAUUUCUCAAGUAUGGCGUUUUCAUUUGCUGUUUUCAUUGUGCAAGUGUCGAAAAUCGUUCCUCUAUUUUUUAUUUUUUAUUUUUUUUGGAGAGGACGUCUAGCAAGGCGUGGGCACGCCCUGGAAGACAGAGUCUUCUGCUCACCAGCUUUUUGCCGAUUUCUCCCCUCUUUUUUUUUUUUCUUCUUUUCUCUAUUUUUUUCUUGGCUUUUCUUUCGAUUUCAGAUGUACAGAAACAGCACCAUACAACAUCUUUUUGACAACACUUGCGCGCAUAGAUUUAUUUGCCUUGCACAAGUAAUGAAUUUCAGACAUCCCUUAAUGACACAAGGUUGAACAAGAAAGUCUAAAAAGGUCAUGGGUUAUCAAACACGGCUAACAAGCAAAAGUAAAGGACAAAAGUUCAAGUUGGUUCACUAUUGGGAAAUAAGAUGAAGGCAUGGUUUGUAGAAAGUUAAAGAAGGUCAAAUCCUAAAUGCCCUUAUCAUUUCAAAUGCAUCCAAUUCAACAAAAUGUGGUCUUGACAUGUAUAAAAUAGCAAGUUCUAGAAUGUCAAUACCAUGUGCGAUACCCACUCAAUCAAACAAAAAUAGAGCAAACAAGAAUAAUAUGCUCAAGUAAGGCUCAAAAGCUCCCAAAAGUUUCAAGAAUGGGUCAAGUCUAGCAUAUUCAACAUUCAACACUAUUGUCAAGAAGAAACAAAAUGCAUAGCUAGUAUAUAUAACCACAUACCCGUGCACCUUGAUUGUGCAAUCCAUUAUAGCAACAUGCUCUAGCAGUUAACAAAUAUAGGACUAGAGAAGUCAACUAACUACACUUUUUUUUUCUUUUCUUUUUUCUUUCUUUUUUAUUUCAUUUUUCUCCUCUUUUUUUGUGUUUCUCUUUUUUUUUUUUUUUAAAGCAAAGCAAAAGGAGAUAAUAAUGGAAGCCAUCCCCCCACACCUAAUACCUACAUUGCCCUCAAUGUAGAAAAGAUGAAUGAAGUAUAAGGAGAAAAGGAGAGAAACUUCCCUGACCACCGAGAAGGUGCAGCGAGACACUAAGACGAAGGAGGGUGAGAUGGCUGGAAUCCAAUGUGAGCAAAGAAAACUGUCUGAUGAGAGAGAGAGUCUCUAGCGGCGGUGGACAAAGGGGAAUCCUGGGACUAAAACAAAACAAAGAAGAUUGAAAAGUAGAAGCUGAGACAAUGGAAAUUGACAAGACCAUACAAGACAAGAAAAGAGAAAAGUAGAAAGUGGGAUUAGAGAGGGUCCUGGUCAAUCUUUGACUUUCGUUGGCGCAAAGGCUGGAAGGCGUGGGCACGCCUUGGAAGCUAUAGUCUUCUGACUGUCAAUUCCAAAACUUCACUGCUUAGGCGUGACCACCUAGUGUGGGCAUGUUCAACUGCCAGCUUCCUGCCACAAAACAACAAUCCACUAAAUGACACUAACACUUAAUAAAAAUUCCAAAAAUAUAAGAAAACUAAAGCAAAAGAAUCCUUGGGUUGCCUCCCAAGCAGCGCCUUUCUUUAAUGUCUUUGGCUAGACAUCGUCAUGUUUAUUCACGGAGGAUAAAAUCGUGUAGCUCGUUUCAGUGCUUCAUCUUCUAUGUAAUCCUGAUAGCCCUCGUAAAUAGAGUAAUUCUUGAGUCCACGAGCUACGGUCUUCCAUGGAUUAGUAGAUGGCGGCAAACAAACAAGUGAUGACACUAAAUCUUCAGUCACUCCUCCAUCACGAGCACUUAUUGGUUCGAGAUAUUUUGCCAUCGCAACCCUUAACUUAUUCCUGUCAUGAAAUUUAAAAUCUUCUGGUAUAAUAAAAUCAAUUUCACCAACAGGAAUUGAAGAAUAAGAGUUAGAAAAAUAUUGAUUAAGGAAUGGAGGAGAUGUCACCGCAUUUGGAGAUUGUUCACUAGAUUCAUUCAUUUGAACAAUUUGAUAUUGGGGUCUCAUGUCUUGCACUUCAACUUUCUUUUCAACUGCAUCUUUAGAUCCUUCUUCAUGAGACUCUUGCAGUUUCAUGUCAUUUGUCAGGAUAAUUAUACCAUCAUCUUCUUCAUGGUCGAUAAUAGUCACUGAGGGCAAUUCUUCACAAAAUGGAGAAAUCAAUUUGCUCAUUGUAGAUGCCAAUUCACGCCUACCAUCUUCCAUCUCUUUAAUCAACCUUUGUGUCUCCUGUUGAAAUUGACGUGUCUCCUGUUGAAUUUGAUAUGUCUCCUGUUGAAUUUGAUAUGUGUUAGUAGCUAUUAAUUCAACUAUUUCUUCAAGAGACAUAUCUGACAUGGAUGACGGUCCUUGAGACUCUAGCUGUUGAAAAUCUAUUGGCCUUUGUUCAUAAUUAAAAGUGGAAUCAUCUCACCAUCCUUGCUCAUACCCGUUUGAAUAAGGGUCAUGCCACGUUUGAUAUUGAGGUGGAAAAUCCCCAAAAGUAUCGAUUGGAGUACUUCGACCAUCUUGAAAUGCAGGGCAUAUGUCGGGUGAAAAAUUCGAAGCAAAAUAAGCUCCACAAUUUGCAACAGCCCAUUGAUCAUUAGAAAAAGUAUGAGUCUCAUGACCCCUUGUAAAAUUAAAAUUCAGUCUAUCACCAAAAUACGGAAUGUUAGCAGCCAUAAAAUAUAUACAAAAAAAAAAUAAGAGAAAAAUAAAAAAAAUGAACUCAAAAAGAAACAAAUUAAUCAGGCACCAGUCCCCGGCAACGGCGCCAAAAAUUGACAGGUGUCGAGCCUGUCCAAUAAUAAUUACCUACUCGAGAAAAAUACAGAUUUUGUAUAUAGCGGUGAGUAGGGUCGAAUCCACAGGGAUUGGGGAUAACUUAUUUCUUUUAGAGUCCGAAGUAUGGGGGGUUUCUGGAGAAUAUGAAAUAACUAAUUAACUAACUAAUAAAGCAACUAAUAGAAAUAAAUAGAAAGUAAUCAAUAACCAAUACGACUCUAACCAAAGGUACAACUUUUCAGAUACGGUCCAUUCAACUGAUCAUCGAUGCAAAGAUAUUUCAUCCAUUUGUCAUUAGGUUGGUUAUAAUUAUCAACAAGCUCUGAUAACCAAUUCUUCCUUACCUUUUCGACAGUCAAGGUACGACCAUUAACUGCUCCCCUAACCAGAUAACAACCCUAGGUACGACCGUAGGAAUUUAAUUAUUCAAUUGCAUUAGACCUAGAAGAACCCAACCCUAACCAAUAAACACGCUAAGAGGGUUUAUUUAAGCUAGAUCUUGCGUUUCCCCAUCAUAAAGCCAAUUAUGGUGGUUGCCACGGGGUGUUAACUAAAUGAACAAUUACGGAUUCUAUUUAAUUAACGUGGCAGUAGGCUAUUAAAUUAAAUCAAAUACCCGGCCGUUGAUAUUCAAUUAAUAAAAUACCCAUGAACAAUUAAUUCAGGAAACGCACGAAUAGCAAUUAAUUGGAGGAAAUAAUGAAGAUUCGAUUAGAUCUCACAUAUAUUAUGGACCGCGCCCUCGCGUCGACCUUUGGGUAGAGGAGAAAAUUAGCCGCUCCUCAUCGUGUCAAUCCCGCGUGAUUUAAUUGAAUUCAUUCAAUUAAUUUCCAAAGAAUCAAUUGCCCAGAAAUUGGGGAGGAUGAAUUAAUCGAAGAAACAAUCAAUGAAAAACCUGGCUCUGUCUUGUAUUGGAGCCGCAAUUACAAAGCAAAAGCCAACGGAGAAUUGUCAAAGGCGAAAAGAGCGAAUUCGGGAGUCAGAGUCGCAUAAAAGCAAAAGCUACAGAAAAGGAAAGUCUCCAAUGUCUGACCCAAAGCCGCAGAAGAAAACAAAAGAAAAACAAAAGCGUCUGACCAAUCUUGCAAAAAGGUAAAACUAAGGCUAAAAGUAGUGAUGAUCCCUGAAUCCUGCUUUUUUCCUCCUUUUAUAGCCGCCGCAGGAGCUCUCCAGACGUCUGGCCCAAUUCCUCCCAACAAAAGCUAGCCUUUUGGAGUUUUUAUCCCAUGUUUCUCGCGGUUCACGUGGACCGCAGUCCGGCUUUCGGUUUCGUCCACCUUCUAAGACGUGGCCACGCCCUGAGACGAAAAGUCUUCUGGAAAUUUACCCCGCGAGAUCAUUUUUCAUGCCUACCACCUACAAUUCACACAAAUAUCGAAUAUGAGUGAAAUUCCAAUUCUUAGUACCGUGAAUAGCCAAAAUUAGGACAAAAUAAUAGUGCAAAAUACGCCAAAUAACCGUUCUAUCAAUCGUUACUGACAAAAAAAAAAAAAAAGGAGAACAUCUCUGAUGGAUAUGCUGCGGAGUAAAUGGAGUUGUAGCAGAAGUACACUUGGCUGUGGCACAAAUAAAUUUUCAUGAAUUCACCUCCCUCUUCAAAUACGUUCACUAGAUCUAAGAAACUAACUUCCAAAUUUGAGGUCAUAUUAGAUAUAUAUUUUAAUGGACAACUAGAACCAAUUCUUAAACAUGUAUUCUUAAUCGUAAGUUUUUCUAAAGUAUUGGUUAUUACACCUAAAUUAUACCUAACUUAUUAUGUAAAUACACACACCCGCAUCCAUUGCACCUGCAACAUUUGGACAUUUUUCUUAAAUUCAUUUGAUUUUUACCAAAAAUUAAUAUAUGAAAUUCUCUUAAUGGUGACCUCCUGACACUGUUAAUCAAGCAUGUACAUGUAGCUGGAUCCAUGUAGUUCAUUGCAAAUUUGCCACGACACGAAGUGCGUUUGCAGUCAAUAUCAGCAAUAAUUGUUAGCUGACCACAAACACUUGCAUCUUUGUAAAUGUGACCAUCCAUAACACAUACAUCAAUGUGAAUGUGACCAGUCUUUUUGCAUAUAAUCUUUUAUUUUCUAAAAUAUUUUGACAUAUAAUCUUGGGAUAAUUUUAGAAACCUUUCUGAAAUUUCAAACAAUUUCACUAGCCUCCUCUGAAAUUUAUAAAAUUACACUUACCUCUCUUUUAUAGAAUUGUGAGCCAAAUUACUUACAUUAUAUGGGGAGAAAUUACUCAUAUACCCUAAGACAUUAUGUCUUAUUAGAAACUAAUAUCUAACGAUUGAAUAAUUAGAACACUAGUUAAUUGUUAGUAACCAAUUAACGGAAAAAACUGUUGAGAAUUUCUUCAAUGAUGAAUGGUGACUUACAAUUACAAAAUAAUGCCAAUUGAUAUACCAAAUGACGCUAUUUGGUGAUCGAUAAUGACCAAAAAUCAAUUUUAUGCAAUGUGAGAAGAGGGGCUUUAGUAGAAGGAAAAAGCUAUAAGGGAAAAGAAGGUUGUUCAUAAGAAAUUUUUUUUGGAAACUCUUGAACCUAUGAUAGUUGUAAGUUAAUUCCGUUGAAAUAAAGGAAAAAAGAGGGAAACCUCAUAUGAAGAGAUAUGACUGGUCUUUUUUUAUUGAAUUUUGUGAUCAUUAUUAUAGUUUUGUUGUCUAUUCGUAUUGCCUAAUGUAUUGAAUGUGAACUUUUUGAAUAGUGAAAUAUGUUUGUUAAUUGUUUCUAACUUCUAAGUAUUUUCAUUCUUUUACUAAUACAACUUAUAUACAUGCAUAAGGGGUAUUUAUGGAAUAAAAGUUUCAUUUCUCUCUUUAAUGUUACUUUUUAUGACUUGGACUAUUUUUGUUACAAAAAUCUUAACCUUAAGGGAGAGUUGUGUAAUUUGCAAACCUCAGGGAAGGAUAAUGAAAUUGUUAGAAACCUCAAGGAGGUUUCUGAAAUUAUCCCUAUAAUCUAAUGUAAAACCUACCUGUGUUUUAGAUGAUUGGUUCUUUAAUUUGUGGUUGAAUGAGAAUUAGCAAGACAAGCAGAAAAAAAAUAAAGAAAAUUUUUUUUUUCCCUAAUGAGCUCUUGUUAGAUGAGAAAAAAGGAACCGAUUAAAGUGCACAUCUUUACAAUCACGAACCUUAAAAUUUGUGGCAGCUUUUGAGAAAAUUUUUCCGAAAUAAAUACUUGUAUAAAACCAGUCAUGUAAUUAAAAAAAUUUAAGAUGAUUCUUACUAAAAUUGAGUCUCAUGGUCUUCCUUUUUCUCCAUAAAAUAAAAAAAUGUCAAACUUUUGAACACCUAGAGAAUUGAUUUUCUUAGUGUAAAUCAUAGUCAAUCAUUAAUUAGAUAUACGUAGUGUUUGGAUAGGAGAUUAUUUGAAAUAUUAUAUGAAAUAAUUAGUUUAGCAUUUUUUACAAUAUAAUGUAUAUGAGAUAAAAAAAAUUGAAAAGAUAAAAAGAUAUAUUAAAAAAUAUAUUUAUAAUACAAAUAAAUAAUUUUUAAUCAAACAAUUGCUAUUCAAAUGUGUAUCCAAACACGUGGAAAAGUGUAUUCUAGAAGUUAUUUGUGAUAAUAAUUUGCACACCAAUUAUGACGUGGGGAUUUAAACCACAAUUGCAAUGACGUUUGCAGUAAACGGGCAAUAAUUGUUACCUGUGGACAUCUGGUACACUGGCCGCAUUUACAUUGACGUAAGUGUUUGCCGUCAGCUAAAAAGUAAAAAGAUAUGAUCAAUUUUGACAGAUGGUCCCCCCUCUCUCUCUUCCCUCCCGCUUACUUUUCAAGUAUUUGGCAGUCUAAUGUAAAACCUACAUGUGUUUUGCGUGUUUGGUUCUUUAAUUUGUUGUUGAAUGAGAAUUGGCAAGAGAAACAAAAAAAAGAGCAUUUAAAGAACCCUUCAUUGCUCAUUUAUUGUCUCAUUUGUCUCUGUCACUUGAGGGAAGCCACGUUUGGUUUGUAAACUUCCCAAAGGAGAACCCUUAAUGAAGAUUUACUUUAACUUUCAAAAAAAAAAAAAAAACCCUUCAUUGCAGCCGUGUAGAGCAAGUAGAAAGAGCAUUUCAAGUGAAAUAAGUAACAUGCUUUUGCAUUUAUCAAGCUGUAGACUUGAUUUUGUAAGGGUUUGUAAAUGGACUUGAGUGUGUACAUUCAUUUAGUAUUUUUUUUUUGGUUUAACGCACUAUCAAGUUUUCAAUUACUAUUGUUAGAAAAAUUCAAAUUUUUGUAAUUUUGUUUGAGUAUGCAUUUAACCUGUUUUAAUGAGUUAAAUUUUUUUAAUACUCGCUGACAUUCACUAAAAUAUUGAUUAAUCCAAAAUUGAGUACUUUGGAACCCCUUUUGAAGGGUGGCUCGAACACUAUUUUCUCCGUCCAUAAGAUUUGGAAUCCGAAAUCUAUUGCGGGGUAUCAAACUCCUUGUCGCUUUGACCCAACAAUCGUUUGUGGAGCAGAGGGGAGCAAGUGUGAUUCAAUCAUAUCAUUGCACUCUAGCUACAGACUAUUCCCAUAUCCGUUUAGCCACAUUGGUGAAACAAUUCUUAUAUUUACUCGUAGCAAGCAACAAGCACCCUGGUCCCGUGGCUAGUGCAAAUGGAAACUCGCAAAGCUCAUUGCUUGAUAUUUCCAUGUGCCGUGCAAGGACAUAUAAACCCGAUGCUCCAGUUUGCUAAGCGUUUGCAACAUCAAGGCACCAAAAUCACACUUGCUACAACUAAAUUCCUGUUCAAAACCUUGCAAGAAGUCUCGGGUUCAAUCGCAGUGGAGACCAUCUCUGAUGGAUAUGAUGAAGGAGCAAAUGAAGUGCCCCUUGAUACAUAUAAUGCUGUGUUUCAAAAGGUUGGCUCAGAAAGUCUAACUGAGCUAAUCUUGAAGCUUAAAGAUCUAGGCUGUCCUGUUGAUUGUAUUGUGUAUGAUGCAGUCAUUCCCUGGGCUCUGGGUGUGGCCAAAAGUCUUGGCUUACGUGCAGCUGCGUCCUUCACUCAAUCUUGUGCUGUCAACAAGAUCUACUACCAUGUCUACGCAGGACUUUUGAAACUCCCUCUGGAGGAGUCUAAAGUGGAAAUUCCUGGCUUACUACCACUUUUAGCUUCAGAUCUGCCUUCUUUUGUUUCUACUUACGGUUCAUAUCCGCCAAUUUUUCAGCUGGUUACACAUGACCAAAUGAAGAACAUUCAUGAAGCUGACUGGAUCUUCUGCAACACAUUUUACAAGUUGGAGGAAGAGGUAAAAGAACAUCUGGAUUUAUUUCAAUAUUACCUGUACAUUACUGCUGCCUAAUGGCAAACCUUAUUCCUUAAUGACCCUGCGAAGUUGGGCUUCCAAUAAAUAUGGAUGUGCCUACGUUCUCGUCGGAUGGUCCUUGUAACCACAUUUUGACUCCCUUAACAUUAGGCCAUAUUACUUCUAUGAGUAUCAUACGAUUACAAGGAAACUAUACUGGCACACGAAUCGCAUGGCUUCAGUGACAUCCACUGCUGAAGACAAAAAAUAGUAGCAUUACCUCAUAUUUCUUUUCGCUUUUUUUAUUUUCAUUUCGUGAGGAAUGCAUAUGAACUAAAAACUAGGGACGAGAGGCAGGAACGGUUGCAAUCAUUCCUGAUGGUUCAUGGCUAAGAUUUGGUAAAAAAAAUAUGUAAGGUUUACAUUUUAUUUUAUACAUCGUUUUUCAUAUUAUGUGUGAAAUCCAUAAAAAUUUAUUCUAUAAUUAUACGUUAUUGAAAGUGAGUUACAUUGUAUGUAUAUAAAGUUACAUUUUAUGCAUUUUGCACAAGACUAGUCUUGUCCAAAAACUAGAUGCUUGAUCAAUUUGUUGCAUAUAUUGCCUAGGUGAUUGACUGGACAUCUAAGAUCCUACCAGUAAAGACGAUUGGACCAACCAUUCCAUCUAUGUACCUUGACAAGCGCCUUCAAGAUGACAAGCAGUAUGGUCUCAGCCCUUUUAACCCAAUGACUAAUGCUUGCAUGUCCUGGCUAAAUGAAAGAUCAACCAGUUCAGUUGUUUAUGUGUCAUUUGGAAGUUUGGCAGAACUUGAUGCUGAGCAGAUGGAAGAAGUAGCACAGGGCUUGAGAACUAGCAACUACUAUUUUCUAUGGGUGGUUAGAGAAUCAGAAUCAAAUAAGCUGCCAAAAGAUCUUGUUAAAGAAACACCUGAUAGAGGAUUAGUCAUUUCAUGGUGUCCUCAGCUUGAAGUUUUAGCCCACAAAUCUAUAGGGUGCUUUAUCACUCAUUGUGGAUGGAAUU
rnacentral:lncRNA from 1 species